rnacentral:rRNA from 1 species
GAUGAACGCUGGCGGCGUGCCUAAUACAUGCAAGUCGAGCGAACGGACGAGAAGCUUGCUUCUCUGAUGUUAGCGGCGGACGGGUGAGUAACACGUGGAUCCCCUACCUAUAAGACUGGGGUAACUUCGGGAAACCGGUGCUACUACCGGAUGAUACUUUGAACCGCUUGGUUCAAAAGUGAAUGACGGUCUUGCUGUCACUUAUAGAUGGAUCCGCGCUGGAUUAGCUAGUUGGUAAGGUAACGGCUUACCAAGGCAACGAUGCAUAGCAGAACUGAGAGGAUGAUCGGCCACACUGUAACUGAGGCACGGUCCAGACUCCUACGGGAGGCAGCAGUAGGGAAUCUUCCGCAAUGGGCGAAAGCCUGACGGAGCAACGCCGCGUGAGUGAUGAAGGGCUUCGGAUCGUAAAACACUGUUUUUAGGGAAGAACAUAUGUGUAAGAAACUGUGCACAUCUUGACGGUACCUAAUCAGAAAGCCACGGCUAACUACGUG